CAUUAUACAGAAAGCCUAACCUCGUGGCUUCAUUGAGAAAAAUUGCAAGUUUUCUUCUCUAUCAUUCUUCCUUCCUUUUCACUUUAUUGCCCUCUCUUUGUUAGAUAUAUCCCAUUCACGAAUAAAAGCCAAUGUCAUACUGUGUGAGUGAGAAAUAAGAGCAACUGAAAACUGGACAAAAAGCAGGUCAUGUGAGGUUUUUCUCUCAUGGAUAUGGCUGCUCAAAGGAUGGCUAGCUAGAGAUCUACCAUGUGGUCUUACUAGUUAAACCAUUCUGCGAAGAUUUCCUUUUAUAUGCUUGAUUCCCUGGACAGAGAAAUGCUCCAAUCUUAACUUGUUAAUCUGUGAUCUCGGAGAAUGCUUCUAUGAAGCUUUUAUAUUGUUCUUUCUGAUGCUUGACAAACAGUUUAAUAUUCUGAAUGGAGACCGUUUAGCUUUGGUUGAUUAUUGAGUGAAAACUGCUUUAGUUGAUUAGUGCUUCUCUAGGGAGUCCAAGCUCUCAAUCACACAAUGUAUCUUGUUUUGCUGGGGACUACAUUUUACAUGGGUUAGGGUCUAUGAUGCAUUAAUAAAUGGAUAUUGUACUUUGUAAUGGAAAAUUACGUCAACCUACUGAGGGCUUUAUCUGUAUAUCCUAUUAAUUUUUUGUCCCACAUGUUUGGCCUAUUACAAUGAUAUACCUUCCACGCAUGAGGAGAGAGAGUAUUAUUUAAUUCCUCUACUCACAUGUUCAGCUUUUGCUGGUGGUUCUCCAAUGGAUUGUUGGUUAUGAAGAUCUAGAUGUGUUACAACUUGAUUCUGCAAUAGAGAACACUAAAAUCACUGGACAAAUUGCUCCCCAUUUUUGGCAGCAUUCAGGGCCACUUGCACAGUAUAGGAGUCUUGUUAAGUAAGGGAAGCUGCAGCAUGAUCCUUACCAGGAAGAGGUUGCUUUUAAACUGGAAAAUCUGCUUGGGAGAAUGGAGCAAUAUGAGAAAGAUAUGGAGGAGUACCAUGAAAAGCUUACCAAAUGGGAGCAGAAGAGGGAAAACGAACGGCGCAGGCUUUUGAUGCAGGAAGCUGAGACCAAACAAGAGGGGGGUGGUAUGACAUCAAUAAGCAAGCAGCGAAAUCUUUUCCAAAGAUGGAUGUCCCGGAAGAAACAUGAAAUUGUAGAGCCAGGAGUAGGGAAAUGGGUCUCAUAUCUUAAUCGAGAGAAGAAAUUAGAUUCACUGGUUGGUCGUCGUCCCACUGCUCCUCCAGCCCCCAGAGGAUUGUAUCUUUAUGGGAACGUUGGAAGUGGUAAGACAAUGCUUAUGGAUAUGUUUUAUGGUGCGACUGAAGGAGUUGUAAAACACCAAAGAAGAUUUCACUUUCAUGAGGCUAUGCUGUUAAUAAAUGAGCACAUGCAUAAGAUAUGGAAGGAUCAAGUUAAGAAUAAAAGUUUGCAGUCAAGUAUUUCUAGUUGGAUUACUAAUCUUCCCUUUGAUACAAAAAUUAAAGAGUGGUUAGCUGCAGAAGAAAGAUAUAAGCAAGAGGUGCAGAUGAAAAACAUCCUUCCUGCUGUAGCUGAUAAGUUUCUCACUGAAGCCCAUGGAAAUCAUGCAGGAGCUAGCCUUCUGUGCUUUGAUGAAAUACAGACAGUUGAUGUUUUUGCAAUCGUAGCAUUAUCUGGAAUUCUAAGUAGAUUGUUAAGCAAUGGAACAAUUCUUGUUGCCACCAGUAAUCGUGCACCGAGAGACCUGAAUCAGGAUGGUAUGCAAAAGGAAAUCUUCCAAAAGCUUGUAGCAAAAUUGGAUGAACAAUGUGAUAACUGUCUAAUAGGAAGUGAAAUUGACUAUCGCCGUCUUAUAGCAAAAAGAUCUAUUGAUCAGGUUCAUUAUUUUUGGCCACUGAAUAGUAUCAAAACAGAGGAAUUUGAGAUUAUGUGGGACAAGCUUACAAGACUAUCUGGGGGAAUAAUCACUUCAAAGGCAAUUCGAGUGAUGUUUGGGAGAACAUUGGAGGUUCGCCUAAGCUGUAACGGUUUGGCACGUUUCACAUUUGAGUACCUAUGCGGUCGACCGGUUGGAGCCGCAGAUUAUAUUUCUGUAGCUAAAAAUUACCACAUGAUCUUUAUCUCAGACAUCCCUACUAUGAGCAUGCGAAUUCGUGAUAAGGCUCGGAGAUUUAUAACUCUCAUUGAUGAACUUUACAAUCACCAUUGCUGCCUAUACUGUUCUGCUGCUUCUUCAAUAGAUGACCUAUUUCAAGGAACUGAAGAGGGUACACUUUUUGACUUGGAGAGUGAAAAAUGUGCGCUGUGCUUUACCUCUGCUUACGCUUCCAAUUUGAAACAGAGACUGAAGGUGCCAAACUGCGACGAGAUGUUCUAGCAGAGGGCACAGUUAGUUCUGGUGGUACACCAACUGGAAUUACUUCCAUGCUAUCUGGUCAAGAGGAGAUGUUUGCAUUUCGCCGAGCUGUUUCCCGCUUGAUUGAGAUGCAAACACCUUUAUACCUGGAAGGUGUCCGCCAUCUUCAUCCGUAUUUCCAGAAUCAAAAGGAAAGCUUUGGUACUCUUAAUGCAAAAGCAACUCAAUUUCGGGAACCAUCUCUUGAAAUCAUUUGAUGUGUACAUCACGUCGAAACUUUUAGUACAUUUUUUGUGCUCGUUUGCCAUCAUUUAAUAGGAUAUACCGAUAACAAAGGGAAAUGAAUUUUUAAACAACA